rnacentral:rRNA from 1 species
AACGUAGGUGGCGAGCGUUAUCCGGAUUUACUGGGCGUAAAGGGUGUGCAGGCGGGCUGUUAAGUGGUGCAUGAAAGCGCUCGGCUCAACCGAGCGAGGCUGUGCCAGACUGGCAGUCUAGAGUACGAGAGAGGGCUGUGGAAUUCCGGGUGUAGUGGUGAAAUGCGUAGAUAUCGGGAGGAACACCAGUGGCGAAGGCGAGUCUCUGGGAUGAUGCUGACGCUGAUGCGCGAAAGCCAGGGGAGCAAACGGG